GACGAAGGAUGCAAGCGUUAUCCGGAUUCAUUGGGUUUAAAGGGAGCGUAGGCGGCCUUGUAAGUCAGUGGUGAAAUCUCGCAGCUUAACUGCGAAACUGCCAUUGAUACUGCAGGGCUUGAGUACAGAUGCUGUGGGCGGAAUAUGACAUGUAGUGGUGAAAUACAUAGAGAUGUCAUAGAACACCGAUUGCGAAGGCAGCUCACAAAACUGUAACUGACGCUGAGGCUCGAAAGUGUGGGGAUCAAACAGG
rnacentral:rRNA from 1 species